GAUGAACGCUAGCGGGAGGCUUAACACAUGCAAGUCGAGGGGCAGCAUAAUGUAGCAAUACAUUGAUGGCGACCGGCGCACGGGUGAGUAACACGUAUGUAACCUACCCUGUACAGGGGGAUAACCCGGAGAAAUUCGGACUAAUACCCCAUGAUUAUAUAGAUUGGCAUCGAUUUAUAUUUAAAGCUGAGGCGGUACGGGAUGGGCAUGCGGAACAUUAGCUAGUUGGUAGGGUAACGGCAUACCAAGGCUACGAUGUUUAGGGGUCCUGAGAGGGUGAUCCCCCACACUGGUACUGAGACACGGACCAGACUCCUACGGGAGGCAGCAGUGAGGAAUAGUGGUCAAUGGGCGCAAGCCUGAACCAGCCAUCCCGCGUGCAGGAAGACGGCCCUAUGGGUUGUAAACUGCUUUUCCAGGGGGUGAAUUAAUCCGACGUGUCGGGUUUUGACGGUACCCUGGGAAUAAGCAUCGGCUAACUCCGUGCCAGCAGCCGCCGCAGUAA
rnacentral:rRNA from 1 species